GUUUUAAUAAUUUAAUAAAAAAUUUUGAUCUUGUAAAUCAAAUUUAGGAUAAACCUUUAAAACU
rnacentral:tRNA from 1 species